UGUUUCAUCAGAUGCUCAUCUAUCAGACUUUCACUAUCUUCCUAAUGGGCCUCUGAUUGAGAUUGC
rnacentral:pre_miRNA from 1 species